UCAUGUCUUCGGCCUGGAGAAGAGCCAGCUCCUGAAGGAGGCCUUUGAUAAGGCCGGCCCGGUCCCCAAGGGCAGAGAAGAUGUGAAGAGGCUUCUGAAACUACACAAGGACCGGUUCCGAGGUGACCUGCGGUGGAUCCUCUUCUGUGCAGACCUGCCGUCCCUCAUCCAAGAAGGCCCUCAGUAUGUGCCCUGAUGCGGGAACCCCAGCCCAUCUGCUGCCUUUACUCUGCCCUUGCUGGGCUUCUUAAGGACUGAUCUGGAGAAGAGGAGUGGAUUGUCCCUGCUGGGAGGAGGAGGGAAGGAAAGGGGGAACUUUCCACUCAGGCUUCUGAGUGCCUGCAUAGUAAACAUAGUUGGGACAUGCGA
rnacentral:lncRNA from 1 species